UUAGUUCAAAAGGAAAGGCUACUGUGAAAUUACCAAUGGGUUAAAUGUUUGCAAAGCAAUAAUUGAAUCGAUUAAGCGCUGCGAACCUAAAGCAACAGACAAAGAAACUCGGUCAUUUAUUGCCUCCUGCCUAAAAUAUGCACCUUAUCGUUUGAAUGGAGGUAAACAAAAAUUUUACAACCAUGAAAUAGAAAUCGAUGAAAUUCACAAAAGUGACGAAGAAAAAAAAUCAAGGUGACGAUGAAUGCGAAGUAGAAGGUGACGUUGAAUCAAACAAAAGCGGAAGUAGUUGCCAAAAAUAAAAAUAAAUUAUCUCCCAUACCCUCACUUAUAAAACUUUUUAACAAAUACAUUUUAGUAAAUUU